rnacentral:rRNA from 1 species
GCCUGCUAGUGAUAGCAGCUUUGUUAGCAGAACGGAAUGGAAAGUCCGGCCGUAGUGGGUGACAGCCCCGUACACGUAAUGCAAGGUUGAAGACUCGAGUAGGGCGGGACACGUGCAAUCCUGCCUGAACAUGGGGGACCACCCUCCAAGCCUAAGUACUCCUUACCGACCGAUAGCGCACCAGUACCGUGAGGGAAAGGUGAAAAGCACCCCGACGAGGGGAUGAAAUAGAACCUGAAACCGGAUGCCUACAAACAGUCGGAGCCCGCAAGGGUGACGACGUACCUUUUGUAUAAUGGGUCUGCGACUUAGUCUGGCAGCAAGCUUAAGGCGAUAGCUGUAGGCGAAGCGAAAGCGAGUCUGAACAGGGCGUUCAGUUCGUCGGACUAGACCCGAAACCAGUCGAUCUAUCCAUGGCCAGGUUGAAAGCAGGGUAACACCUGCUGGAGGACCGAACCGGUGCCUGUUGAAAAAGUCUCGGAUGAGCUGUGGAUAGGGGGUGAAAGGCCAAUCAAGGCUGGAAUAGCUGGUUCUCCGACG